CAUACCCCUAGAGGUACUAUAGGUAUGACUGCAGUAUCAUAGAGUGCAUCAGUAGGUAGCCUAGAGGAAAGAGGCUAGAUCUGUCUAUGUGCAGUAUUCUGACCUGUGGAAAUCGAAUUGAUUAGUAGCCCACCACU